CGCCGCUUUCCCAAUCCUCCCCGUCGCUGCUCUCCCAAUCCCUCUUCCCUCUGUCGCCGGCCUCUCCCUCUCCUCGUCGCCGCCCCCUUCCUCUCCUCGACGCCGGCCUCUCCCUCUCCCCGUCGCCGGCUUGUUCCAUCACCCCUUUCUCCCCACCACCCAGCCUCCACUCAUACCCCGAAGGGCAACAAAAAAGUGAAUCUUUUUGUGCCGGCGACAAGCUUCUAGGCGACGGACGUGUGGAUGUGUAGCGGCGCCAGAGCAGGAUUUGGGCAACGGAGGCGUGGACGUGGAGCCGCGGCCGAGCGGCGGAUCUGGAGAGGCGCCGGAGCAGCGGAGCGGCAGGCCUGGAGCGGGGCCAGAGCAGCGGUGGGAGAUGGAGUUCCCUCUCGACCCAGUCGACAGGUACGGAUGCGGUGGAGGACCAGCUAGCUGGCGGCGGCGAUGGGAUGAGCAGCUGGAGCAGUUGUUCGCGGGAUGAGCAGCUGGAGCCGGUGGCGGGGCAAGCAGCUGGAGUAGGAGGGCGACGCCGAGCUCAACGGCGACUCCUACGACAACUGCAGCAGGAGAGCGCCUACAACCGUUGUGGCAGGAGUACCUCGGUUUCGGAGGUAAUGGGACGGACGCAUGGCGACGCAAAAAAAGAAGCUGCAAUCAGAGAUGGUGCAUGCAGCAACCGGCUAAGAGCGACAUGCUCCGCCGCCGAUGCUGCAACCCACCGACAGGGACAACUAACGCGGCAGCGCGAGGUGACUACCCACCGGCUAAGCGUGAAGGGAAGGAAAAGAUGCUACCCAGCAAAGGGCGAGGAAGAUGGAAUCAGGGGGAAUCAACGGUGCAAAGGGCUCCAAUCUGACGGAUGCACGGCGACCUGCCCAAAAUGCGCCUACCAGUGCCCUGAUGAAAAACGAGUCUCGGAACAAUUCAUUAUCACAAUAAUAUUGUUCUCGCACAAACAAUUACAUUCACCAACUCUGACAACCUCUUCUCAUGUAAAGUCAGCCGCCUGGGAAGUAAAACCUCUGCCAACCAGAAGACUAGCCCAAUCAACCCCCA